UGGCUAUUUGGACUUGAGAUACUCUAGAUCUCUUUCUGUUUAAGGUGUAAUACACUAAUACUCAUAGAAUCCUCAACAGUUUCUUCACCCAAAUUAGAUCGAUGACGAUCAGUAUAAAAGGAGCUUCAAAAAUUAAGUUAAGCCCUUCAACAUUAUAGGGCUUUUCAAGGUAGCAUCCGAUUGCGGCCAAGACACUCUCAAGAAAAGGGUAGCAAAUACUUUACUUUCAGGGCCAAGUUUAACACAACUGUAUCAUCUACAAGUUUCAAACACUUCUCAUUACUUAUCUAAAACAGUACUUAGCAUAAUAUAUAUAGUUAGGUGUUGCCA